rnacentral:ncRNA from 1 species
AUAUGUAAAAAAAGAAAAGAGUUUGAUCCUGGCUCAGAAUGAACGCUUUUAGUUAGCUUAACACAUGCAAGUUAAUAUUUUUAAUUACUAUUACUAAAAAUAUAGCGAACGGGUGAGUAAAACAUAGAAAUUUACCCUUUAAUUUUUGGAAAAGUCUAUGCAAGAUUAAGUAGUUGGUAAAAAAUGCUUACCAAGCUUACAAUCUUUAGUUGGUCUUUGAGGAUGAACAACCACAUUGGAAUUGAGAUAAGGUCCAGACUCUUUUAUAGAGGCAGCAGUGAGGAAUAUUGGGCAAUGAGCGAAAGCUUGACCCAGCUAAAUUAUGUGUGUGAAUAAAGUAAAUAACUGUAAAGCACUUUAUUCAAAUAUAAAUUAUGAUUUAAACUUGAAUAAUAAAGCCCUGGCUAAUUUCGUGCCAGCAGCCGCGGUAAAACGAGAAGGGCUAGCGUUAUUCGGAUUAAUUGGGCGUAAAGCAUACGUAGAUUGAAAAUUAAUUAGUAAAUUAAAAAUUAAAAUUAAUUUUAAAAAAUUUUACUAAACGUAUUUUCUAGAGUUUAGAGGAAGAUUGUAGAACUUUAAAUGUAACGGUAAAAUGUGUUAAUAUUUAAAAGAAUUUCUAAAGCGCAAGCAACAGUCUAAGCUAAAACUGACAUUGAGGUAUUAAAGUGUGGGGAGCAAAAGGGAUUAGAUACCCCUGUAGUCCACACCUUCAACGAUGAGUGUUUACUUUUAGAGUAUUCUGGAAGUGUAGUUAACACGUUAAACACUCCGCCAGGGAACUACGGUCGCAAGACUAAAACUCAAAGGAAUUGACGGGGACCUAUACAAGCAGUGGAGCAUGUGGUUUAAAUCGACAAUACGCGCGAAACCUUACCAAUUUUUGCAUAUUUACAGGUGUUGCAUGGCUGUCGUCAGUCCGUGCUAUGAAGCGUUUGAUUAAUUUCAACAAACGGACGAAACUCUUGUGUAUUACUAUUACAAACCGCCAAAGAUAUUUUGGAGGAAGGAAAGAACGACGUCAAGUCCUUAUGACCCUAAUAAAUUGGGCUACUUUCAUGUGCUACAAUAACUACUUCAGUAAGUAACUAAAAUGAAAAUUUAAGUAACACUUUAAAAUUAGAUAUAUUCUUAUUGUUUUCUGCAACUCGAAAAUAUGAAGAUGGAAUUGCUAGUAAUCGUAAAUAAGAAUGUUACGGUGAAUUCGUUCUUAGGUCUUGUACACACCGCCCGUCACGCUAUGGAAAUUCUACCUAUUUGAAAACCACACAUCAUGGUUUAUAAUACAGGAACAACUGAAGUGAAGUCGUAACAAGGUAGCCGUAGGGGAACCUGUGGCUGGAAAAUAAAGCAAUAUUAUAUCA